GAAACCUAUGCUGUGUCAAAUAUUUAAUCACAAUCCAAAUUCAGAGCUGUAUCAACCUUGAAUGUUGUGUCCAUACUUGCCCCAACUGUUCAGGGUUCGACCUCUGCGGUCGUAUCAAGCUGCGCCCUGCGAAGCAUUUUAUUGGUAAUUAUCUUGAAUAUUAUUAUAGAUAGAGAUAAACUGUAAACAGCAAUAAUGUUCAGCAAAGUAAGAUCUACAAAUAAGUCAACUUGACCAAAAUGGUCAGUUGACCCCUUAAGGAGUUAUUGCCCUUUAUAGUCAAGGUUUAACAAUUUUUUGUAAAUUUUUAUACGACCGCAAAAAUUUUUGCAGUCGUAUAUUGGUAUGACGUUGGCGUCGUCGUCGUCCUGUGUCGUGUGAAGACACAUUGGUUUUCGCACUCUAACUUUAGUUUAAGUGAAUGGAUCUCUAUGAAAUUUUACCAUAAGGUUCAAUACCACAAAAGGAAGGUUGGGAUUGAUUUUGGGGGUUAUGGUACCAACAGUUAAGGAAUUAGGGGCCAAAAAGGGGCCAAAAAUAAGCAUUUUUGUAACUUCCAGACAUAACUUGUGUGUUAGUGUAUGGAUCUCUCUGACAUUGUACCACAAGGUUCCAUAUCACAAAGGAAAUGCUGGGAUUAAUUUUGGGGGUAAUUGCCUCAAAAUAUUAGGAAUUAGGGGCCAAAAAAGGGGCAAAAAACAAGCAUUUUUCUAGUUUCAUGACAAUAACUUGUGUGAAAGUGUAUGGAUCUUUUUGAAAUUGUACUACAAGGUUCCAUAUCACAAAGGGAAAGCUGGAAUUGAGUUUGGGGGUAAUUGCCUGAAACGUUUAGGAAUUGGGGUCCAAAAAGGGGCCAAAAAUAAAGAUUUUUCUUGUUUCCAGACAAUAACUUGUGUUCAAGUGUAUGGAUCUCUCUGAAAUUGUACCACAAGGUUCCAUAUCACACAGGGAAUGCUGGGAUUGAUUUUGGGGGUAAUUGCCUCAAAAUUUUAGGAAUUAGGGGCAAAAAAAGGGGCAAAAAACAAGCAUUUUUCUAGUUUCAUGACAAUAACUUGUGUGUAAGUGUUUGGAUAUUUCUGAAAUUGUACUACAAGGUUCCAUAUCACAAAGGGAAAGCUGGAAUUGAGUUUGGGGGUAAUUGCCCGAAAUGUUUAGGAAUUGGGGGCCAAAAAGGGGCCAAAAAACACAUUUUUCUAGUUUCCAGACAAUAACUUGUGUUCAAGUGUAUGGAUCUCUCUGAAAUUGUACUGCAAGGUACCAUACCAUAAAGGGAAGGCUGGGAUUGAGUUUGGGGGUGAUGAAUCAUAAAAGGGUUCAAAAAAUUUGGGGGGGGGGAUUUUUUUUUUUUCCUUUUUUUUCUUUUUUUCCUUUAUUUUUCUUUUUUUCCUUUUUUUUUUUCUUUUAAAAUUUUCCAUUUUAAGUUGGUUAUUUCUGAUUUAUAUUUAAAAGCAAAUAAUAAUGAUAUGGUAGGAGAUACACACCAAACAGGAUGUGUAAAUUG